CGUUGGGACCACGUGGUGGGUGCUGUGCUACUUGCACUUGACAAGACUGCCCCGGGGAAAGUCUGAAGGGGGGGAGCUGACCGUGACAGCGACUGUCACGGGGGCUUCGGAACCAGA
rnacentral:ribozyme from 1 species